rnacentral:rRNA from 1 species
UACGUAGGGGGCUAGCGUUGUCCGGAAUCAUUGGGCGUAAAGCGCGUGUAGGCGGCUAGGUAAGUCUGCUCUGAAAGCCCGGGGCUCAACCCCGGGAGGCGGGUGGAUACUGUCGAGCUCGAGUCCGGAAGAGGCGAGUGAAAUUCCUGGUGUAGCGGUGAAAUGCGCAGAUAUCAGGAGGAACACCAAUUGCGAAGGCAGCUCGCUGGGACGUAACUGACGCUGAGACGCGAAAGCGUGGGGAGCAAACAGG